rnacentral:rRNA from 1 species
AUACGGAGGGUCCGAGCGUUAAUCGGAAUUACUGGGCGUAAAGCGUACGUAGGUGGCUUGAUUAGUCGGAUGUGAAAGCCCUGGGCUCAACCUGGGAACUGCAUUCGAUACUGUCUGGCUAGAGUAUAGUAGAGGCAAGUGGAAUUCCGGGUGUAGCGGUGAAAUGCGUAGAUAUCCGGAGGAACACCAGUGGCGAAGGCGGCUUGCUGGACUAAUACUGACACUGAGGUACGAAAGCGUGGGGAGCAAACAGGAUUAGAAACCCGGGUAGUCC